ensembl:lncRNA
GAGAACAGUAAUUUUGAAGGUACCCAUGAGCAACCAUUUCUGAUGAAAAAACAAAUGUGAUGCAUUUUGGAAAUAAACUCUUAAUAAUUAUUUAAAAAAUGGUCAUCUCACCUCUUAGAUUUGGUGUCAUGUUCCCCAGAGAGCCACAUUUUAGAGGCAGGGGCCCCCUCCUCUCUCUCCCCAGAGAGAUGCCUUUUAGAGGCAGGUCCCUCCUCUCUCUUCCCAGAGAGACACCUUUUAGAGGCAGGUCCCUCCUCUCUCUCCCAAGAGAGACUCAUUUUAGAGGCAGGUCCCUCCUCUCUCUUCCCAGAGAGACACCUUUUAGAGGCAGGUCCCUCCUCUCUCUCCACAGAGAGA